GGUAAAUGUUGGUGUAUGCCUAUGUUGGCUGUCAAAGGUUAACUUUUUGGAAGUGAUGAAUGCAGAGUCAUAGUAGAAAUUCCUGACACUCUGAUUUUUGUUUUAUAUGUAUAAGGUACUGUUUUUGAGCUUUUUCCCAAUUCCUGGUUUGCAAGUGUCAUCAUGCCUUGGGUUUCAGUAUUCUAGCUUGAACUUGGGGCUAAAUGCUGGUUUACACAGGAAUUAUGUUAUUAC
rnacentral:misc_RNA from 1 species